rnacentral:rRNA from 1 species
CGAGUGAACCGGGAAGAGCUCAAAUUUGAAAUCUGGCGUCCUCAGGGCGUCCGAGUUGUAAUCUAUAGAGGCGUUUUCCGUGCCGGACCGUGUCCAAGUUCCUUGGAACAGGAUAUCAAAGAGGGUGACAAUCCCGUACUUGACACGACGACCGGUGCUCUGUGAUACGUCUUCUACGAGUCGAGUUGUUUGGGAAUGCAGCUCAAAAUGGGUGGUGAGUUCCAUCUAAAGCUAAAUAUUGGCGAGAGACCGAUAGCGAACAAGUACCGUGAGGGAAAGAUGAAAAGCACUUUGGAAAGAGAGUUAAACAGUACGUGAAAUUGUUGAAAGGGAAACGAUUGAAGUCAGUCGUGACCGAGAGGCUCAGCCGGUUCUGCCGGUGUAUUCCCCUCGGUCGGGUCAACAUCAGUUUUGUCCGGUGGAUAAGGGCGGUAGGAAGGUGGCACCCUCGGGUGUGUUAUAGCCUGCCGUCGCAUACAUCGGGUGAGACUGAGGAACGCAGCUCGCCUUUAUGGCCGGGGUUCGCCCACGUCCGAGCUUAGG